rnacentral:snRNA from 1 species
UAACGUUGGAAGUUAGUAUAACUAACUUAGUAUAACAAGAUUAGCAUGGCCCCUGUGCCAGGAGGACAUGCAAAUUUGUGAAGCAUUCCAAAUUUUA